GAAAAAGGGGAGGGAUGUGGAGGCUGGGGGUGGGGGAUGGAGGCUGGGGGAGGGAGGUGGAGGCUGGGGGAAGAGGGAUGUGGAGGCCGGGGGAGGGAGGCAGAGGCGGGGGUGGGGGUCGGCGAGGGGAGGGAAGGCCCUCAAAGAUCCAGCAGAAAGGGGUCAGGACAGUGAGGAGGGACGCACAGGUGGGAGGGGGUCAGGACAGUGAGGAGGGAGGCACAGGUGGGAGGGGGUCAGGACAGUGAGGAGGGAGGCACAGGUGGGAGGGGGUCAGGACAGUGAGGAGGGAGGCACAGGUGGGAGGGGGAACACCUGUAGGUGAAGUGCAGAAUGGCCUGGAUGGAGUUGCCCCCGCCUGUAGAGAUGUCGCCCUCGAAGCCAGGGAGCAGGGGCAAAAGCACGUAGACCCGGAAACGCUGCCCCUGGCUG